rnacentral:rRNA from 1 species
AUUGAACGCUGGCGGAAUGCUUUACGCAUGCAAGUCGAACGGCAGCACGGGGGCAGCCCUGGUGGCGAGUGGCGAACGGGUGAGUAAUACAUCGGAACGUGCCCGGUCGUGGGGGAUAACGUAGCGAAAGUUACGCUAAUACCGCAUACGAUCUGAGGAUGAAAGCGGGGGACCUUCGGGCCUCGCGCGAUCGGAGCGGCCGAUGUCAGAUUAGGUAGUUGGUGGGGUAAAGGCAUACCAAGCCGACGAUCUGUAGCUGGUCUGAGAGGACGACCAGCCACACUGGGACUGAGACACGGCCCAGACUCCUACGGGAGGCAGCAGUGGGGAAUUUUGGACAAUGGGCGCAAGCCUGAUCCAGCCAUUCCGCGUGCAGGACGAAGGCCUUCGGGUUGUAAACUGCUUUUGUACGGAACGAAAAGGCUCUGGCUAAUACCUGGGGCUCAUGACGGUACCGUAAGAAUAAGCACCGGCUAACUACGUG